rnacentral:rRNA from 1 species
UACGUAGGGCGCAAGCGUUAUCCGGAGUUAUUGGGCGUAAAGAGCUUGUAGGCGGUUUGUCGCGUCUGCUGUGAAAACCCGGGGGCUCAACCCCGGGCCUGCAUUCGAUACGGGCAGACUAGAGUUCGGUAGGGGAGUCUGGAAUUCCUGGUGUAGCGGUGAAAUGCGCAGAUAUCAGGAGGAACACCGGUGGCGAAGGCGGGACUCUGGGCCGAUACUGACGCUGAGGAGCGAAAGCGUGGGGGAGCGAACAGG